GAUGAACGCUGGCGGCGUGCUUAACACAUGCAAGUCGAACGAUGAAGCCCAGCUUGCUGGGUGGAUUAGUGGCGAACGGGUGAGUAACACGUGAGUAACCUGCCCUUGACUCUGGGAUAAGCCUGGGAAACUGGGUCUAAUACUGGAUAUGACUUCUCAUCGCAUGGGGGGGGGGGGAGAGAUUUAUCGGUCUUGGAUGGACUCGCGGCCUAUCAGCUUGUUGGUGAGGUAUUGGCUCACCAAGGCGACGACGGGUAGCCGGCCUGAGAGGGUGACCGGCCACACUGGGACUGAGAUACGGCCCAGACUCCUACGGGAGGCAGCAGUGGGGAAUAUUGCACAAUGGGCGCAAGCCUGAUGCAGCGACGCCGCGUGCGGGAUGACGGCCUUCGGGUUGUAAACCUCUUUCGGUAGGGAAGAAGCGAGAGUGACGGUACCUGCAGAAGAAGCGCCGGCUAACUACGUG
rnacentral:rRNA from 1 species